CGGACGGGUGAGUAAUGCGUAGGAAUUUACCUCAAAGCGGGGGAUAGCCCGGAGAAAUCCGGAUUAAUACCGCAUGUGCUCUACGGAGUAAAGCGGGCCUCUUCUUGAAAGCUCGCACUUUGAGAUAAGCCUACGUCGGAUUAGCUUGUUGGUAGGGUAAAAGCCUACCAAGGCGACGAUCCGUAGCUGGUUUGAGAGGAUGAUCAGCCACACUGGGACUGAGACGCGGCCCAG
rnacentral:rRNA from 1 species